UUAGAGUUUGAUCCUGGCUCAGAACGAACGCUGGCGGCGUGCCUAACACAUGCAAGUCGAACGGAUUUGAGGGGCUUGCUCCUCAAGUUAGUGGCGCACGGGUGAGUAACGCGUAGAUAAUCUGCCUGAUGAUCUGGGAUAACACUUCGAAAGGGGUGCUAAUACCGGAUAAGCCCACGAGGUCUUUGGAUUCUGCGGGAAAAGAGGGGGACUUUCGGGCCUUCUGUCAUCAGAUGAGUCUGCGUACCAUUAGCUAGUUGGUAGGGUAAUGGCCUACCAAGGCUACGAUGGUUAGCUGGUCUGAGAGGAUGAUCAGCCACACUGGAACUGAGACACGGUCCAGACUCCUACGGGAGGCAGCUGUGGGGAAUUUUGCGCAAUGGGGGAAACCCUGACGCAGCAACGCCGCGUGAGUGAUGAAGGCCUUUGGGUCGUAAAGCUCUGUCAGAGGGGAAGAAAUGAUAUAGUGCUAAUACCACUUUAUCUUGACGGUACCCUCAAAGGAAGCACCGGCUAACUCUGUGCCAGCAGCCGCGGUAAUAC
rnacentral:rRNA from 1 species